UUGAUGAAAAACUAUAUAUUUAAUCAGCAGUAGUACAUUUAAAUAGCAAAAAUAGAGGAUAAAAACAUGAUCCUAUGAUAAAGCUACAAACCAGAAACCCUAUUAUCAAUAUCCUAAAGACUAGGUCUACUUUAUUGACUGAGUCCAACAAAGAAAAAAAUCACGUGCAGUUCAAAAACACGUUUUAACAAUCCUCCUUGCUUUUGGAACUGCAAACAUCAAUUCUUUGCCUUAGAAGCUCGAACUUGCUGAUGGGAAGAGGCUUUGUGAACAAGUCUGCUAGCUGAUCGUCAAACUUUCAGUAAAUUAGUGUCACUUCUCCAUUUUGCUGCACCUCCCUCAAAAAAUAGAGCUCGAUGUUAAAAUGCUUGGUUUUUCCAUGAAACACUGGAUUGUUUGAGAUUGCAAUGGCUGCUUGGUUGUCAACAAAAAUUUUUGUGCUUUGUUUCUGCUUCAUGUUUAACAAGAUUUUUUUUAGCCAUAAAACUUGAUUUACAGCAGCUGUUGCUGCUGUAAAUCAAGCUUCUGCAGUAGAUUGUGCUAUAAUUUCCUACUUCUUGGAACACCAUGAGAAAGCCCCUGAGCCUAGAUUGAAACAAUAUCCUGAAGUGCUUUUCAUAUCAUCAACUGAUCCAGCCUAAUCGCUAUCCAAAAAACCACAAAGCUUAAAAUUUUUACAUCUUUUAAACUCAACUCCAUGAUAACAGUACCUUUGACAUACUUUAAAAUUCUUUUUGCUGCAAUUAAAUGCACUUCACUAGGGCAAUGCAUAAAUCGGGAUGAGAGACUUACAACAAAUAGAAUAUCAGGCCUUGUUGCAGUGAGGUACAUCAGACAUCCAAUCAAACUCCUGUAAUAACCUUCCUCAACUUUAUCAGCUCCAUCUUCCUUAUUUAGUUUCUCCUUUUGAUUCAUAGGUGUGCUUACUGCUUUGCAUUCUUCCAUCUUAAAAUUCUUUAGGAUUUCCUUCGCAUAAUUUUUUUGACCAACAAACACUUCAUUUUCUCUUUGUCUGAUCUCCAUUCCAAGAAAAUAGGUCAUGAGACCAAGAUCUGUCAUUUCAAAAGCUUGCAUCAUUUCCUUUUUGAACUCUUCAACCAGCUUUGUAUUAUUUCCUGUCAGUAGAAGAUCAUAAACAUAUAGGGACACAAUGAGUGUGUCAUUAUCUUUAUGUUUCACAUAAAGAGUGGCCUCAUAUAAGCUUUUAACAAAACUAAGACUUAUCAAGUGCACAUCUAUCCUGCUAUACCAAACUCUUGGUGCUUGUUUCAAACCAUAAAGAGCCUUUUUAAGCAAAUAGACCUUGUCUUCUUCACCUUGCUUCAUAAAUCCUUCAGGCUGCUCUACAUAUAUCUCCUCCAGCAAGAAGCCAUUUAAAAAGGCUGACUUGACAUCCAACUGAAAUACUUUCCAUCCCAUUUGUGCUGAUAAUAUUAAGCAGCAACCUGAUUGUAUCUAGCCUUGCCACAGGAGCAAAGGUGUCAGAAUAAUCAACACCAUAUAUUUGAGCAUACCUUUUAACAACGAGUCUGGCCUUAUGUUUGUUGAUAGAGUUGUCUGCAUUCAGCUUUGUUCUGACAUCUAUUUGACGCCAAUGACCUUUCUUCCUUCAGGUCUCUUAACCAACUCCCAAGUUUUAUUUUUUGUAAUCAUAAACAGCUCUUUCUCCAUUGCUUUCUUCCACUUUAAAUCCUGUAAUGCUUCUUCAGGAUCACCAGGUUCACAAAUUGCCACAUUACAUCUUGCAUAGAUGUCUGAAAUUGACCUUGUACCUUUAACUUGAAGAUCAUCUUCCAACUCUUCUUGCCAUGAAUCUGCUAGGUUCUUUUUAGUAACAACACUUCCUGGUUCUUUUGAAUAACUAUCUUUCUUCUACAAAUUUUUCUAAUUCCAUUGUUCAUCCUCAUUAAAGUGUGCAUCCCUACUGAUUGUCAUUUUUUCUGUUUGAGGAUGAUACACCUUGUAAGCUUUAGAAACUGAACUAUAACCCACAAAGAUGCCUGGAAUUGCUUUUUGGUCAAGCCUUUCAUGUUUUAUCUGUAGCACGUGAACAAAACAUACACAGCCAAAUACUUUAAGAAAAUUUAGUGAAUGCUUAUACCCAUACCAAGCUUCAAAUGUAUUGGCUGCCUCUGCCCAAAACAUUUUUGGUAACUCUUUCUCAUACAACAUACAUCUGGCUAUCUCCAUUACCGAUCGGUUCCUUCUGGAGUGUAACUCCAUUCUAUUCUGGAGUGUAUGGGACAGUAAGCUGAUGUUCAAUGCCAGCUUCUUCGCAAAAUAAAUUAAACUCUGCUGAAGUAUAUUCAUUUCCAUUAUCUAACCUCAAUGCUUGAAUCGUACAGCCACUUUGAUUUUCUACCAUUUUCUUGAACUUCAAAAAUACACCGGCAACUUCCGAUUUUAAUUUCAAGAAAAAAAUCCAGCACAUUCUUGUGAAAUCAUCAAUGAAAAGAAUGUAGUAAAGACUACCUUGUAAUGAUGGCGUUUUUUGAGGUCCAGCUACAUCCGUAUGAAUAAGCUGUAAUUUUUUGGAAGCUUUCCAAGUUGAUUUUUAAAAUGGCAACCUGUUCUGUUUACCAAAUUAGCAGGCAGUACAAUCUGGCAAAUAAUUGUCAAGCUCCCGUAGUCCCCUUUUCAAGUCACUUUUCUGCAAUCUUAACAUCGUUUGAAGAUGACAAUGGUCAAGCCUCUUAUGCCAAAUUUCUGCGCUUCUGGCUUUGGUGAAAUAAGCUAUCUACACCUCUGUAGAUUCAUUUGAUAAGCUUUUACCUCUCAUUUUAACCCUUAAAAUUUCUUUCCCAGAUGCAUCAAAAACAAGGCAAUGGAAAUCUUCAAAGGAUACCCUAAAUCCUUUCUCUAACAAUUGACCAACACUCAAUAGAUUUUGAUCAAUUUCAGGUACAUAAAGGACAUCAGAAAUUGUUUUUGUAGCUGAGCUGGUUGUAAUUGCAAUAGUUCCAAUCCCUUUUGCAGGUAGAUAGCCUCUGUUGCCUAUUCUGAUUUUCUUGAUUUUUGAGGGCCUUAAAUCUUUGAAGAGAGUUUUAUCAAAAGUCAUGUGGUUUGUAUAACCACUGUCAAUCAGCCAACCUUCUAAAGAACUUUUGGUUGAAAAACAUGUCGCCACAAACAUCUUAUCUUCUUCUUCAUCAGCAACUUGAGCAGCUUCAUCUUGGUUCUGGAAUUUAUUAGUGCAAACCACAGCUUCAUGUCCAUCCAGACCACAUUUGCUAUAUUUGGCAUCUAGCCUUCUCCAUCAUUUGAAAGGUGGAUGGCCUAUUUGACCGCAGUGCUGACAAGAUGGGUAGUUCUUUCUUGAAUUUCUACCAUUGCUGUGAUUCUAGUUGUUUGCAGAACCUUUCCGAAGAUGUCGCUUGUGUUUUUUUGUCAGUAUUCUUCUUGGAUUUUUUUAGCCACCAGGUGUUUGGCUAGAAGAGCUCCUUCGAUAACACUUUCUUGCCUCAUUAGCCUCCUCUGAUGUUGAGUUUGCAAGGCAUUUAGUAGCUCUGCCAAAGUGAUCUUGGACAAUUCCUUUGUAUUUUCCAAGGUGGUAAUGGUAACUUCAUAUCUUUCUGGCACAGUUACAAGAAUUUUUUGAAUAAUUCUUGAAUAUAAAAAUUGAGUGCCAAACAACCUUACCUUGUUUACAAUGCCCAAUAAUCUGUCUGAGUAUUCUAUGAUUGACUCAAAAUCUUUCAUCCUCUGAAGUUCAAAUUCCGUCAAUAAAUUCAACACCUACAUGCCUCGAAUCCUUUCAUCUCUUUUGUAUUCUUCUUUGAGAUAAUCCCAAAUCUCUUUUGCAGAUAUAAGAGACAUGAUCCUUGUGAAGAUAUUUGCUGAAACAGCCACAAAGAGAGUUGCCUUUGCCUUGGAUUUCUUGGUCUUAUUUUCCUUGUGAUUUUUCAUUUGGGCCACGGUAGGAUUGUUUGGCAGCAGAGUGACUUCGUAAUCUUCUUCCACGGCCUCUUAAAGAUCCAAAGCCUCAAGGUAAGCCAUCAUUCUCAUGGCCGAAAGUUGAUAAUUCUCACCAUCAAACACUGAAGGAGCAAUUUUGGAAUAGCUGGUUUCACUUUCCAUCGUAAUCACAGAUCCCUUAAGAAGACAGCUCUGAUAGCAAUUUAUUGUUUUAUUUGAAGUUGACAGAAACAGAGGAAGAAGAAGAUAUAGAGCUUAAACUUUAUGUUGAUGAAAAACUAUUUAUUUAAUCAGCAGUAGUACAUUUAAAUAGCAAAAAUAGAGGAUAAAAACGUGAUCUUAGGAUAAAGCUACAAACCAGGAACUAUAUUAUCAACAUCCUAAAGUCUAGGUCUGUUUUAGUGACUGAGUCCCAAAAAAAAAAAAAACACUCAAGUACGUUUUAACAGUAAGCAACUACUCUACCAUGCUGCAUUAGUACACACACUAAGGCUAGGUGAGAUGUAUCAUAGUAAACUGUAAAAUCCCCAGAGUUAUCAAGAAUGGCUAAUACAGGAAUCCUGGUCAACCGACAUUUAAGCUCUACAAAGCUCUCCUCACACUCGGAGCUACACUCAAAUUGGAUUUUGUUCGGAGCAGUUGAGUAAGUGGAGCGGUAAUUUUUGAGAAACCCUCUACAAAAUGACAAUAUUAACCAACUCCAAACCUCUGACAUAGUGGUGUGACAUCCCAAAUGUUAAUUAAGGCAAAUGGGUGUCAGAUAAAGAAACAGAAUAAUGAGUGCAUGAUAAAAUUUUUUGCAGCAGAACAAAUUAAUAUAAAUCUCUUACAAGUAUAUAUGAGUUCUAAUUACAUACGUAUAACUGAGGCCAGAAAUGGCUACAAAAUACGAAGUCAAAAU
rnacentral:lncRNA from 1 species